GCCUUCUUAGUUCAGUGGUAGAGCGUUGGUCUCGUAUGAUAAUUGUAGUGAAACAAAGGCCGAGAGCUCAAUCCUCUCAGGAGGCA
rnacentral:tRNA from 1 species